GACUAAAGUCCAUUCAGCCUCCGGGUUCCUGGACGAAAGUCCAUACAACCUCCAAUUUAUGAAGAAUCGCAUCCACGAGCCAUGAGUUUCAGAAGGAUGUAUCUCUAAACUUUCAGAUUUUGGAAGAGCAUUCCCAGGGUCCUCCGGGUUCCAUGAAAGCACGACGCCAGGUCAUCUCAGCAUCGAUUGUGGCCUACCUCCUUGGGCAGAUUGCAAUGUUACAUAGUUGAGAGUGGCCAAGAAUCAAGGGCGGAGUUCAACCAAUGUUUCCACCUUCUUUAUUCGGCAUGGAAACUACUGCUUGCCGCAAACAACAUGUCCAAGAGAUCUACUCCGGCACCAAGAAUCAACUAGGUUAUCUCCAGGCAGUAAGACGAACAUACCGAACGUCCCCCCUGUCAAAAGUCAAGGUACAAUCCCGAGACAAGGCAAGAAGCUACAGCUAC
rnacentral:lncRNA from 1 species